GACGAACGCUGGCGGCGUGCUUAACACAUGCAAGUCGAACGGAAAGGCCCUGCUUUUGUGGGGUGCUCGAGUGGCGAACGGGUGAGUAACACGUGAGUAACCUGCCCUUGACUUUGGGAUAACUUCAGGAAACUGGGGCUAAUACCGGAUAGGGGCUCCUGCUGCAUGGUGGGGGUUGGAAAGUUUCGGCGGUUGGGGAUGGACUCGCGGCUUAUCAGCUUGUUGGUGGGGUAGUGGCUUACCAAGGCUUUGACGGGUAGCCGGCCUGAGAGGGUGACCGGCCACAUUGGGACUGAGAUACGGCCCAGACUCCUACGGGAGGCAGCAGUGGGGAAUAUUGCACAAUGGGCGGAAGCCUGAUGCAGCAACGCCGCGUGCGGGAUGACGGCCUUCGGGUUGUAAACCGCUUUCGCCUGUGACGAAGCGUGAGUGACGGUAAUGGGUAAAGAAGCACCGGCUAACUACGUGCCAGCAGCCGCGGUGAUACGUAGGGUGCGAGCGUUGUCCGGAUUUAUUGGGCGUAAAGGGCUCGUAGGUGGUUGAUCGCGUCGGAAGUGUAAUCUUGGGGCUUAACCCUGAGCGUGCUUUCGAUACGGGUUGACUUGAGGAAGGUAGGGGAGAAUGGAAUUCCUGGUGGAGCGGUGGAAUGCGCAGAUAUCAGGAGGAACACCAGUGGCGAAGGCGGUUCUCUGGGCCUUUCCUGACGCUGAGGAGCGAAAGCGUGGGGAGCGAACAGGCUUAGAUACCCUGGUAGUCCACGCUGUAAACGGUGGGUACUAGGUGUGGGGUCCAUUCCACGGGUUCCGUGCCGUAGCUAACGCUUUAAGUACCCCGCCUGGGGAGUACGGCCGCAAGGCUAAAACUCAAAGGAAUUGACGGGGCCCCGCACAAGCGGCGGAGCAUGCGGAUUAAUUCGAUGCAACGCGUAGAACCUUACCUGGGUUUGACAUGGAUCGGGAGUGCUCAGAGAUGGGUGUGCCUCUUUUGGGGUCGGUUCACAGGUGGUGCAUGGCUGUCGUCAGCUCGUGUCGUGAGAUGUUGGGUUAAGUCCCGCAACGAGCGCAACCCUUGUUCAGUGUUGCCAGCACGUUAUGGUGGGGACUCAGUGGAGACCGCCGGGGUCAACUCGGAGGAAGGUGGGGAUGACGUCAAGUCAUCAUGCCCCUUAUGUCCAGGGCUUCACGCAUGCUACAAUGGCUGGUACAGAGAGUGGCGAGCCUGUGAGGGUGAGCGAAUCUCGGAAAGCCGGUCUCAGUUCGGAUUGGGGUCUGCAACUCGACCUCAUGAAGUCGGAGUCGCUAGUAAUCGCAGAUCAGCAACGCUGCGGUGAAUACGUUCCCGGG
rnacentral:rRNA from 1 species